rnacentral:tRNA from 1 species
GCCCCUGUAGCUCAGUGGAUAGAGCGUUGGCCUCCGGAGCCAAAGAGCGCAGUUCGAGUCUGCGCAGGGGUA